rnacentral:lncRNA from 1 species
CAGACUCCUGUCUUACCUCGGAUUUCGGUGCUGUCAGUCUGAAAAACAGACGUCCAUUUGGUACUCUAGACGGACUGUCCUUCCCUGAUCUAAAGCUGGGCCAUUUGGAGAUUUGGAGAACAAAGGACUGUCUUCCACAUCCUGACACCCGACCCGACACCCACUUGACACUACUGUGGAUAAUGCAAGAACAAAGGAAUGAACAGCAGAAAGUAAGAGAGAGAGAGAGAGGGAACCAAAAGAAGAAAGUUC